GAUGAACGCUGGCGGCGUGCCUAAUACAUGCAAGUCGAGCGAAUGGAUUAAGAGCUUGCUCUUAUGAAGUUAGCGGCGGACGGGUGAGUAACACGUGGGUAACCUGCCCAUAAGACUGGGAUAACUCCGGGAAACCGGGACUAAUACCGGAUAACAUUUUGAACCGCAUGGUUCGAAAUUGAAAGGCGGCUUCGGCUGUCACUUAUGGAUGGACCCGCGUCGCAUUAGCUAGUUGGUGAGGUAACGGCUCACCAAGGCAACGAUGCGUAGCCGGCCUGAGAGGGUGAUCGGCCACACGGGGACUGAGGCACGGCCCAGACUCCUACGGGAGGCAGCAGUAGGGAAUCUUCCGCAAUGGACGAAAGUCUGACGGAGCAACGCCGCGUGAGUGAUGAAGGCUUUCGGGUCGUAAAACUCUGUUGUUAGGGAAGAACAAGUGCUAGUUGAAUAAGCUGACACCUUGACGGUACCUAACCAGAAAGCCACGGCUAACUACGUGCCAGCCGCCGCCGUAA
rnacentral:rRNA from 1 species